AUAGUAUAAAGCCAAAAAAAAAGUGUAAAAUCACUGCUCACUGGGAAGCUGAUUUUUUUAUGUAAAUGACGCGUUUCGCUGUUGCUCCUUCAGGUUCAAUCUUCAACUUCACAUGACACCGACAGAUGGAAUAGAUGAUUACAGGGACACAUGACCUCACCAAUUUCUGUAAGAUACCACCAAAUUGUGUGCGGUGAUUUUACACUUUUUUUGGCUUCAUAACCUUUAACAAGUAUUUUGGUAACAUUUACUAUUUCCCUCAAUUAUCUUCCGUCUUUUUCUGGGAGUGUUUAUGUGAACAGGGUAGCAAUGUCCCCCAAACCAAACAAUUAGCAAAGAAUGGCUAAGCCCCGGAUUGUGCUUGUGUUGCUAAUGAAGGGGUUGUUUCCUGGAGGAAAUCGUGGCCUGGAUGUGGCCCCCCGAGCCCUGACGUCAUCUGACGCUAAUCCUUCCUGUUUUUCAAACAGGAGUCGGACGCCUCUGUGGGUUUGUGUUCAUGCACAGGCUGCUCUCCUUGUGACCCGUCGGAAUGAAGUGUUUUCCUCCGCCGCUGAACCGAUGUCGACCUACAUGUGACGGGUAAAACCGAAUCCGAGGACUUCUCCCAGCCCUGUGUGUGUGUGUGUGUGUGUGUGUGUGUGUGUGUGUGUGUGUGUGUGUGUGUGUGUGUGUGUGUGUGUGUGUGUGUGUGUGUGUGUGUGUGUGUGUGUGUGUGUGCGUAAGGACACUCUGCAGUUAAAAGUCACUGGAGCCGAACCUGCGCCCCACCCCCGCCCGGCCUCCACCCUUGUGUUUAUCUGUCCCCUCCUGUGAGAGGUCAAAGGUGAGACGUCUCCCAGAGGGGAAGCUUACACUCUGGUGCGCGCGUCCCUCCCUCCCGAAGCGCCUGUGUCUGGCGUGUUCCUAAGCAGGUGGUCGAUGACAGACGGUCCCGGGAGACGACGGUCCCGACGGUCCCGCCGCCGCCUCGCUCCGUGGCGAUCGGAGUCACGCGAGGCGCGGCAUUCCAUGCCUCUCAUCUCAGCGCUCCUGACAGAACGGCAUUCCAGGAAGUGCCAAGGGGAGCCGGCAGUGAUCCGCAGCCGUGAUGAGUUGUAAUGAGUCCAAGGUAGUGGAGGAUGUAUCACGCUAAACCCAGAACACACCAAACGGGACUGUCCGGAUCAGAGAUGGAGUGACACGCAACGGAACUAUCAUCUCCCUGCUCCGCACGCACACCUGGCCCAUGCACGCACACCUGGCCCAAUGCACGUACACCUGGCCCAUGCACGCACACCUGGCCCAAUGCACGCACACAUGCACCGAGGAAAGCACACAUGCAGAGGAACACAUCUUGAUAAAACCAAGAAUGUGAUGUGGAAGUCCCCUGUUCUGCAAUGUCUUUUUAUUCCUUGAAUAUUCCUUUCUUUCUCUCUUCCUCUGUCCAAUGACUUCGGACCAUUAGUGAAUGGGUUCAAUCAAAACAAUUUUUAUCCUGAAAAAUAAUUGGAGUAUAAAUCAGUAACCCUAACAGUGUAUGUUGCCAAAUAUAUUAUCAAAUUGAGAUGAUCAUGUAACUACUUAUUAUUUAAAUGAUGCACACUAAGACGAUUUCCAAUUCAAUGAUGCGCCCAUAAAUACUUUAAAUAAAUGCAAAACGAUUUUAAAUAUUUUGUUUGAUUGACAUACGAGGUUGUCUAGUAUUUAAUUGAGGCAGGCCUAACCCUAAAAGGCUUCAACGCUCAAUUGUACUAAAGAACGAUUUUGCAAGUAUAUGCUUCCACCAUCGAUGAACAUGUAGUGCCUUCUGAGCUCUCUAGUGACAUCGUAUAGGGAUCGGACGUCACCUCUUUGCCAAGAUUUUAAUUUUUCCGCUGACUGUGGGCCUGUGAAGCCCUUUCGGACUGAAAUUGUGAUAAGGGACUAUAAAUCUAAACCCCACCUGAUUUCAGUCCAAGCGAGUCGAGAAGUUGGCCUUUGAAAAAUUAUUUGUAAAAGUGUUCCCCGUCUGUCCUCCUACGGCAAACAAUUGGCAGACCCUCAGUAGUGGAGAGGAUUGUGUGUGUGUGUGUGUGGGUGUGCAUGUGCCUGCAGGUGUGAGUGUGCGGGCGUGUGUGUGUGUGUGUGUGUGUGCGUGUUUCUGUGGGUGUGCUUGUCUGCGUGCGUGUGCGUACGUGUGUGUGUGUGUGUGUGUGUGUGUGUGUGUGUGUGUGUGCGUUUGGUAAAAGGAGCUGCUCGGGAGGUUAUUGUCGCAGCCUUAGUAUCGCGUGCGCUGGCCCAGCCCAGACAACCCUGCCCUUCUCACGAACAGCUUGCACAACGGAGGGGAGGACUGGCUCAAGAGGGGAAGUAUCUCAUGGAGAAUCUGUCUCACAGCAGUUUGCACACAGACACUGAUGAAUGUCCUACUUGGAUCUGUUACACACCAUUGAUAUGUCAUGCCAUCUCUCGGCCAUCAAGAUUCGGGGGGGGGGGGGGGGAAAUAUCUUGUGAAAGCUCUCCUUCUGUGGGAGCUGGCACAGAGUGUAGGGAUCCUGCCCUGUGUUGUGAGUGUAAUGUUUGUCCCCUGAAUACAUUUGUCCUUCUGUAAACCUGUGCGCCACUGUCUGAGUACCUCAGCACCUGCCCCAGUUUGUCUUAAUGCAGCCAGCAGAGAUUGUGCCAUUGUUACAGCCAUUUCGCUUCUUUUUACUUUUAGCCAAAUUGAUAUUCUUGUUUUGAAGUAUGAAAAGUGUUGAUGUUGAAAUGAUUUGUUUUUUGUAUAAUAUUUCGUGUUUGUAGACGUCAUGGCUGACGUCACAGGCAAAGGUCAUAAAGUAAAGGGGUCAGCCAAAUGUUUGGGUUGGCCGAUGGAUGAGGGUAGCGUGGUUAAUCACUCUGUUUUGACCACUACUGUCGAUAUAAUUGAUUGUUUGAUACGCUUUUCGUCAAGAUUAUAUUGUCUACCUAAUUUACAAAUGCAUCGGAUUCGUUUUUUGUUACUGGAAAAGAUCGAAUAAAUCAUUUUUUAUCAAGA